AUGACAUUCUUCACAGGAAAUAUGCAUUCAGAAGGUGCUAUAGCUUAUAUGCAUUCAACAUUUACUUGGAAAAUCUUUCAUAGCAAUGUUACACCGGCAAAUAUACUCUUGGAUGACCACUUUGUGCCAAAGAUCUCGGAAUUUGGUAUAUCAAGGUUCAUUGCGGAAGAGUACAAACUCACCGGAUUAUUCAUUGGUGACAUGGCUUAUAUGGAUCAUGUAUAUGUGCAAACAGGGCUGCUAACUGAAAAAAGUGACGUCUACAGCUUAGGAGUUAUCAUCUUGGAGCUUGUUACGAGGAAAAAGGCCACACAUUCUGACAAUAAUAGUCUGGUAAAGAUUUUUCUUGAGAAUCACAAAAUGGGUAGGAAAUCAACUGAGUUGUUUGACAAGGAAGUUGCAGCGACAAGAGAUUUGGAGCUUCUUGACAAUCUGGCAGGAAUUGCUGUGGAAAACAUACCACGGCCCACCAUCACCAUCACCAUCACCAUGUUUGAUUGCAGCUCAACUUGCUCUACUGCAGCGCCAGCACGCAUUAAUAUGGCCAAGAUGGCAUCUACGCUCUGCCAUCAAGCAUUGACGCUGGGGUGGUCGUCCUCGUCUUCUUCCUCGGGCCCUCGUGAUCCAGAUCUGAUCCAUCUCCGCUCGUCUGCUCUCCUCUGCUUUGCUCACCCUUCGGCGGCGGCGGGGUUCUACAGUGCCGUGCAUCCACCAUACUGCAUCCAUAGUGUUUUGGCUUUUGGCCUCCUCCUUUUUAUUCCAAACCAGGCUAGAUCUGCUCUAUUCCCGACUGAUGUGCUUCUAAAUCGCUAA
rnacentral:rRNA from 1 species